CUCGCUAGGUGCUACGCAUGCGGUGCACCCGGACAUAGCGAUUUAUCGAAAAAGCGGAAAAAUAUCGGGGAGUAUGCGGGAAGGAAUUUUCCGUAUUUGAUACGUAUAAUACUUUAUUUAUACAUAUAAUACAAGAUAGUACAAGCUUAUGUAACAAGUUUUCUAAAAUUCUACAAAUAUAGCUUGGUCUAAUGGUUUUGGGGUGUUAGUUAUGUUUGCAAAUCAUGUGUUCGAACAGCAAAAAACUUAUUUUAUUUUUAUUUUAAUGUUUUCUUUCAGUGAGUGGCAAAAUAGUAAUUAAGUCUUCUUCUUCCUUUACCCAUCGUUUUGGUUUCUGCAUUUUCUACCAUAGCUAACAUAAUAAAUCUAUCACCAAUCACUUAAAUUUUGCUGCUUUCUACUAGUUUCUUCAGUAAAUUUGUAGAUCUCUUAUCUCAUAUACGAUUUCAAGAGCUAAAAAUCCAAAAAAAAAAAAAAAACCAAGAUAAGUCCAAUUUUUCAUUCGAUUUUGAUGAAAUCGCCACGGUGAGUUGCCGAGGAGUGAGUAUUCGUCCGAUUAAACUGUAACUCGGGCGAGUUUUAGAACAUGGGUUUUAUUAAACAACUAGGUAGCGGACAUAGUUAUUUUUUCAAAAGAAAUUAGGCAGUAUAUACACGAGAAAAUGCGAAAUUGGGUAACUACCCAAACACUGGUCAUGACAUUAUGGUCUUUUCAAUAUACCACCACUACCCCUACUGAUCUAGUAACCUAUGAUAUCUUAGCCAAUAUAUUCUUGUCAGAACGUAUCCCUUUCCCACACUAAACAUUAUACAUAAAUAUAUUUUCUUCUAUAACUCAUGAUGAUAAAAGUAAUGUUAUCCAGAGAGGAUGAACACGUUGAGAAUAUAGGUGGAAUUGUUCUUCAAAACCAUUUUAUCCAGAGAGAAAUAAGAAGUCAGCCAAUGAGAACUGUAGAUUUUGGUGAACCAAUUAAAUAAUUAGUACUUCAUGUUUAAUGGAUCUUAUCUGAUAAAAGAUAUUGUUUAACAUAAAUUGUUAGAUGUUACCACUUUUUCUUAUCAUGUAUUAACCAUAUCCUGAAUGAUUUGCCUAAGAGAUAUUGGCUAGUGUGUAUUGUCUAUAAUAAUUGACUUGUGACACUGUUAUUACCAAUCUAAUAAAUAAAUCAACAUAUACCUUUCUAGCUAACAUCUACAAUCUCGACUCUAAAGUUUGUAUUGCAUGUUACUAAAAAGAACAAACCAACCAUGAUGUAUAUGAGUACUGGCUAACAUAAUAUUUACCAUCUAUCCUAAUUAAAAGUUAAGGCCUAAAGUAUAGAUUACCACCAUCUAACUUAAUUUUUACAAUUUACUAUUCCUAUGUAGACCCUAAGUUGUACCUUACCACUUAACACAUUUUGUACCAUCUACGAUGCUUUUUCAUAGGAGUUACAAAUAUUAAUGAUAUAUUACUACCCUAAACUAUACCUUUGAUAAAUUGAACAAUUCAAUGCAACGAUUUCGUCUAUAAUAUAAAUAUAUGAUUGAGACCCUAUAUGAUUAGAUCGUAAUCUUACACAUAGCUCUGUACCAUUUUUACCAAUGGUUGGGACUGCUUUGGACAAUUCUGCCUUAAUACGUUUGUCUACCUAAUAUUGUUACCAACACUAAUUCAUAAUUUAAUAUCUAACAUACUAGUUAAUAUUUACUGUUUGUAUUACAUGGACCCUAACGUUUAUUAUUGUAUGUCUAACUUACAUUUUACCGUCUAACUUACAUUUUUCCAUCUAACAUAUACUAUUUCUUGCAAUCAAAGUCAUAGAUGUACCGUCUAACAUUUAUUAUUGUAUGUCAUAGAUGUACCGUCUAACAUUUAUUACAUUUUACCGUCUAACUUACAUUUUUCCAUCUAACAUAUACUAUUUCUUGCAAUCAAAGUCAUAGAUGUACCGUUUAACAUUUAUUAUUGUAUGUCAUCUCUCUCCGGUUAGGUUAACUUAGGUGCAAGUUAUGCCAUAACUUAGCUAUAUGUAUCUGCAACUUAAGUUUGAUACACUCAUAUGCACAGAAAAAAACCAUAAUUAGAUAUCUACCAAAUUUUUUCUUAGUAUCUAAUCAAAAGGUGUACCAUCUAACAUAUAGUCUAUUAUUUGAAAACUAAAAAUAAUUAAUAUUUAUAAGUAUAUAAAUUGUAUUAUAAAAAUUCUGGUACCCAUUCGGUUUUCAGUACUGUUCCGGUUCAGUUUCAUAUUCUGAUAUUAGAGAUAUUGGUUCCUCUGGACAAUUUAUAGGAUCCAAACUUGAACAAAACCUAGUUUUCGCUUUGGUUUGGCUUUUCAGUUUUGGAUAAAUGUGCUCAUGCGUAAAAAUAACAACAUGCAUAAAAAUAACAACAACGAUUUUAACAAAGUUAACUUUCAACUUAAUGUAAAAAAAUCACUUUUCGCAAAUAGUAGCAUUAAACUUUUUUGUCAACAUCAGAGACUUCUCUGUUUCACAUUUAGAAUCAAAAACAUUGAAACAUUCAUGGACUGUAAAUGUUCUAGAAUUCUCUUUCCACACUUUCCAUAUUAGUUUUUGAGUUUAUGUCAUCAGUAAAGACCAAAGUAGUUGACUUACUUAAAAACACUGCAUGUUUUUUUACUAGGUUAAUGGGUACACGAAUUAAAAGAAACUGCAAAAUUUAUAUUUAACAAAGACCAAAACAUUUCUAUUCAUAAAAAAAAGACCAAAACAGUCGUUGUUUUUUUUAAAUUAUCAAAUACUAAUAUGUUCAAUUAAUUAAUAUAUUAAUAGAUAAUAAGUUAAUAACAAAACAUAUAGGUCGCAACAAACAUACUCCCUCGUAUAAUUUUAAUUAUUGUUUUAAGUUUAUACACACAUUAAGAAAACAUUACAUUUUGCAUAUUUCCAAAAUAAAAGAUCAUUACUUAUAUAGCAAACCAUAUUUCAAUCAAAAUUAAAAUAAAUUUUGCAUUGAAAUUAUAAAAUGACACUUAUUUUGAGACGAAAAUUUAACUCUACAACAAUAAUUAAACUGAAAUAAAUGAAAUAUGUCACAACAAACAUAUGUCAAAACAAUCCAAAUUUAUAUAAUUAAAAGAUGAUGCAAGUGAAUAAAAAUAAUAAAAUAAAAGUCUAAAAAUUUCAUGAUUCAUUAUGGGUAGCAAAAAAAUUUAACCGAGUUAAAGAACUCCGAACGGAAAAUCCUCCGAGAAUUCGUCGAAAAUCAUCUUUGUUUUCUUGUAAUAUUUCCUUCCACACUUUCACAUCAGUUUUUGAGUUUAUUUCAUCAAUAAAGACUAAAGUAGUUAUUGACUUUCUUUGAAAACUCUGCAUGUCUUUGGUUAGAUAGAGUAACGGGUACACGAAUUAAAAGAAACUGCAAAAUAUAUACAUAAUAACAAAGACCAAUACAGUCGUUGACUCGUUGUCUUUUUGUUUAAAUUACCAAACACCAACUUAUUCGAUCAAUUAAUAUAUUAAUAGAUAAUAACAAAACAAUUGUCGCAAAAAUCCAAAUUAUAUAAUUAGAAGAUGAUGAAAGUAAAAAAGUAAAAAUAAAAUAAGUAAUAAUUUAUGAUUUAUUAAAAGUAUUAGUGAUGGGCAUUCGGUUUCAACUAUAGAGCAAAGAUCUUUGAUAUCAGCUUAUAGACCACAUUGCAAAGAGCAAUGGGUCUUUAUUCUGAUACCAGCUUCGGGCUCUGGACCUUCGGUAUAAGUUUCACGGGGGUGUUGUUAAUCUACUCUGGGAGAACGCCCGUCCUGAAGAAUUCUUGCGUCUCUUUGACGAUAAUAGGACCUACUGUAGACAGUUUGACUGGAAAAAACAUGCCGAGAACCCAUCUGGUCCGGAUGCUUUCUCCGGAUGGAUCGAGAACAUAACCACUCUAAUCUCCUCCGCUGUUGGUAUCUUGAUCAGUAGUUCAUUAGUUUCAGCUGAGAUACACGGGGAGAUGGCUUGCUCAACAAUAGCCGAUGAAUCAAGUGAGAGGUCUGGGCUAGAGUUCGAAGUAAAGAUUGUCUGGAAAUACGAGGUUAUCUCCUGAACAAUGUGUGUUUCCUCAUAGAAGACAGUACCAACAGAGUUCUCUAGUACAUCAAUGCGAUUUCUAGCUCGUUUUCCUUAACAAAUUGUGUGAAAAUACCCUGAAUUCCUAUCACCAGCUGCAAGCCACAUUAGUCUACUCCUCUGUUUCCAGAAUUCUUCUUCAUCCUUGUAAGCUCUCAGGAGUUCCCCUUUGAGGUGUGAGAUAAGGGAGUCGUUCUCUGUUUUGUACGACAUUGCAGUUCCACUUCCCCUUUUAGCCUCUCAAUGCAUAUUCUGCUGUUAGUAGCUUGUUUCUUACCCCAGGCAGAGAUCGCAAAGCGGCAUCUGGUUAUCUAUUAACCAAUAUCCCAAAAAUCGAUUAAAUGAGGCGUUCAAUAGGAGACUAGUGAUUAGGUGGGUGGUGCGCGGUUUACAUAAUUGGGCGCUUACGCACUGAUAAGCUACACUGAUUCUUCGAACACUGCAUACAACUAAACACUCCAACUUUUCCCAGCAUCUGACCUUUGAUAAAAACUACCAAGAGAAAUACAUUUCAUUGAUAACAAAGUAGAAAACAAAACAUGGAGCACAAGCAUUGAUAACUUCGUCUUAUUACAAAUUCAUCAAACGUCUCUUUUAUUCAUAAAGUUUGUUUCAUCCAUGACAAAACAAGUAAAGAUCACUAAACGGAGACGAUGUUGGUCACAGAGACCUUAACCAUUUCAGCUUCAAAGAUGAUAGCAUCAUUCACCAAAUACCCUUUGGAUGCAUCGUUUAAAUCUGCUAGCAAUAUGAUAUUGUUUACUCCCACGCCAUAACCGCUUCGAAUAGGGUAC